rnacentral:rRNA from 1 species
GUGAGGAAUAUUGCGCAAUGGAGGCAACUCUGACGCAGCCAUGCCGCGUGCAGGAAGAAGGCGCUACGCGUUGUAAACUGCUUUUAACCGGGAAGAAACCCAGGACGUGUCCUGGGUUGACGGUACCGGAGGAAUAAGCACCGGCUAACUUCGUGCCAGCAGCCGCGGUAAUACGAAGGGUGCAAGCGUUAUCCGGAUUCAUUGGGUUUAAAGGGUGCGUAGGCGGAGCGUUAAGUCAGUGGUGAAAUCCUGCAGCUUAACUGUAGACUUGCCAUGGAUACUGGCGCUCUUGAGUGCGCUUGAAGUGGGCGGAAUGUGCCGUGUAGCGGUGAAAUGCUUAGAUAUGGCACAGAACACCAAUUGCGAAGGCAGCUCACUAAGGCGAUACUGACGCUGAGGCACGAAAGCGUGGGGAUCGAACAGGAUUAGAAACCCCAGUAGUCC